AAUACUCCAACCACUGCAGAACCGUACACACAACCAUCAACAUCAGCAAACGUCAAGACGGCAAUUAGCACUGUGCUGUUUCUAACCAGCAGGCAGGGUCUCUCCUGAACAGCAAAUUUAUCGCCAUUUCAUUCCUGACAUUUUCUUCACCCCCAGAGUCAAUAAAAUGGAGGUUCUGAUUGGGAAUCGUCUUGUUCGAGUGUGUAUUGUGUCGAGGUACAGGACCGUGCUUUCAAUGGUACCUUCAAAGGUAAGCCUUAAACAAUGCCAGCGGGAAUUACAACUUUAGCUCAGACAGGAGAGAGCUGGCCAUUGAAUCCUUCCAGUCCCAGCACCAAGGCUGAUACCUUGUUGCGAUCACCAGGGUUUGGAACGAUAUUUAAUGUGACCACGAAUUCCAUCAACCUCAGAGCUAGGUAAUUCAUUCUUCAUCUUUGAUCUGUGCUUGUUCUUCACUGGGGUCCAGCUGAAGUCUUGACAGGAACACUC